UUUGUUGUUGAAUUUCUUCUCACCCGGGCAGUUCUGAUCUUCAGCUUUGAUCGAGAUUAAUCCGUGGACUGAUCGAGAUGAUUUUUGGUUAGCACGUUCUUAACUCAUUGAUCUUCAUUUUGAACGGUGGAGAUUGGAUUUGGAGUUUGGAACAGUGGUGAUUUGUGUCCAGGAACAGUGACUCUGUUUUGGUGAGAUCUCUCCAUUGUUUUAUGCAAGUUGUUUUGUAUUUGCCAAGACUAAUUGUCUUGAGAUAUGGCUGAUGUAAAUCUCUAGUUUCAUCUAGAGAGAAUUGUGUAACCCAUUGAUUAUAUUAGUGGAGGGUUUAAGUGGCCUAAGGGUCCCGUGGUUUUUACUUUUCACAUUUGGGAAGGUUUUCCACGCUAAAAAUUGUUGGUGUUCAUAUUCUUGUUGCAUUGGGUGAAUUGUUGUUACUCUAUUAAAUUGAUUCCUAUUAGGUUCUCACAAGAGGGGAUAAAAUCUGGUUGUGCAUUGUUUGCGUUUAUCCCAUCAAAGUGGUAUCAGAGCAUUGGUUCAAGAUAAUUUGUGCCUUGUGUAGAACAAUGGAAAGCAAUACAAGUAGAAUGAUCACUUUGAAUGGUUCCAAUUAUCAUGUUUGGAAAGGAAAAAAGGAAGACUUAUUGUAUGUGAAGGAUUAUUAUUUGUCUGUGUUUGCUUCUUAAAGGCCAGAAAAUAAAACUGAUGCAGAAUGGAAUUUACUUCAUCGACAAGUUUGCGGUUAUAUCAGACAGUGGGUAAAUGAUAAUGUUUUCAAUCAUGUUAGUGAAGAGAAACAUGCAAGGAGUCUAUGGAAUAAGCUCGAACAGUUAUAUGCUUGAAAGACUAGCAAUAAUAAAUUGUUUCUAAUCAAGAAGAUGAUGAGUUUGAAGUAUCAAGAUGUAACUCCUAUGACAGAUCAUUUGAAUACAUUCCAAGGUAUUAUUAAUCAGUUGGCUGGAAUAAAUAUCAAGUUUGAGGAAGAGGUGCAAGGGUUGUGGCUUCUUGGUACAUUGCCGGACUCGUGGGAGACGUUUAGAACUUCUUUGUCUAACUCAUCCCCAGAUGGUAUUAUGAAUAUGGACUUAGUUAAGAGUUGUGUUCUAAAUGAAGAAAUGAGAAGAAAGUCACAGGGCUCUUCUUCAUAGUCAAAUGUCCUAGUUACUGAGAAGAGGGGGAAGAGUAAGAGUAGAGGUCCGAAGAACAGAGAUAGAAGCAAAAGCAAGACUAACAAGAUUUCCAAUGUUGAGUGUCACUACUGUCAUUUGAAAGGGCAUAUAAAAAAAUAUUGUCGCCAAUUGAAGAGAGAUAUGAAAAAAGGGAAAGUGAAGGAAAAGAAGAAUGACAAUGGUGGUGAAGAUGAUCAAGUUGCCACUACCACUUCAGAUUUCUUUAUUGUUUAUGAUAGUGAUGUUGUUAAUUUUGCUUACCAGGAAACCAGUUGGGUGAUUGACAAUGGUGCCUCCAUCCAUGCUACACCUCGGAAGGAUUUCUUUACAUCCUACACAUCCGAUGAUUUUGGAAGUGUUAGGAUGGGUAAUGAUGGCUCAGCUAAAGCCAUUGGUAUGGGAGAUGUACGUUUGGAGACUAGUAAUGGUACUAUGUUGACUUUGAAGAAUGUUAAACACAUUCCGGAUAUUCGCAUGAAUUUAAUCUCCACAGGAAAGCUUGAUGAUGAAGGGUUCUACAACACCUUCCGUGAUAGUCAGUGGAAGCUCACUAGAGGUUCUAUGGCGAUAGCAAAAGGAAAUAAGAGUUCCUCAUUGUAUUUGAUGCAGGCAAGGGUAAUUGAUUCCAGUAUCAAUGCAGUGGAUGAUGAUAGUACAUUUGAGCUUUGGCACAAUAGGCUUGGUCACAUGAGUGAGAAGGGCUUGAUGAUUUUGGCUAAGAAGAAUCUUCUUUCUAGUAUGAAGAAGGGAUCUUUGAAGAGGUGUGCUCAUUGCUUAGCAGGAAAGUAGACCAGAGUUGCAUUCAAAACACUUCACCAUACAAGGAAGCCAGGUAUGCUUGAUUUAGUGUAUUUUGAUGUGUGUGGCCCUAUGAAAACAAAAACACUUAGUGGAUCUCUAUAUUUUGUGACUUUUAUAGAUGAUCAUUCAAGAAAGAUUUGGGUUUAUACCUUGAAAAAAAAAGACCAAGUGUUAGACGUGUUUAAGCAGUUUCAUGCGCUUGUUGAAAGACAAUCUGGUGAAAAGUUGAAAUGUAUCCGGACUGAUAAUGGGGGUGAGUAUUCUGGUCCUUUUGAUGAGUAUUGUAGACAACAUGGUAUUCGACAUCAAAAGACACCUCCUAAGACUCCUCAGUUGAAUGGGUUGGCUGAGAGAAUGAAUAGGACACUGGUUGAAAGAGUAAGAUGCUUACUUUCGCAGUCACAGUUGCCAAGAUCUUUUUGGGGUGAGGCUUUGAAUACUGUUGUACAUGUUCUCAAUCUUACACCAUGUGUUCCUUUAGAAUUUGAUGUUCCGGAUAGAAUUUGGUCAAAUAAUGAAAUCUCUUAUGAUCACUUGCGUGUCUUUGGAUGCAAGGCUUUUGUGCAUAUUCCCAAAGAUGAGAGAUCUAAGCUUGAUGCUAAGACAAGACCUUGUGUAUUUAUUGGCUAUGGUCAGGAUGAGCUUGGUUACAGGUUUUAUGAUUCGGUGCAGAAAAAACUUGUAAGAAGCCGAGAUGUUGUGUUUAUGGAAGACCAUACUAUAUAGGAUAUUGAGAAGACUAAUCCAAUGGAGUCUUAGCAUAGUGGUGAUUUGAUUGAUUUAGAUCCAGCCCCUCUGACAAAUCUUCCUACAUAGGUUGAAGAUGAAGCACAUGAUGACCAACAUGACAUGGGUGAUGUUGAAACACCCACACAGGUUGAAGAUGAAGCACAUGAUGACCAACAUGACAUGGGUGAUGUUGAAACACCCACACAAGUUGAGGUGGAUGAUGAUGUUCAUGAGCAGUCACCAACAGUAGAGGCUCCAUCAAAUAUUCCACUUAGAAAGUCUACCAGAGACCGACAUCCUUCCACACGGUAUUCUGUUGAUGACUAUGUAUUACUAACUGACGGGGGAGAACCUGAAAGUUAUGUGGAAGCCAUGGAAGAUGAAAAUAAAAUGAAGUGGGUUGAUGCUAUGCAAGAUGAGAUGGAGUCAUUGCAUGAGAACCAUUCUUUUGAGCUUGUCAAGUUGCCAAAGGAAAAAAAAAAGCUUUGAAGAACAGGUGGGUUUACAAAGUGAAGCAAGAAGAACACACUUCACAACCUCGUUACAAAGCUAGAUUGGUCGUCAAAGGGUUCAAUCAAAAGAAAUGUAUUGAUUUUGAUGAGAUUUUUUCUCCUGUUGUUAAGAUGUAAUCUAUUCGUGUGGUUUUGGGCUUGGCAGCUAGUCUUGAUUUGGAGAUUCAACGGAUGGAUGUUAAGACUGCAUUUCUCCAUGGUGAUUUAGACACAGAAAUUUAUAUGGAACAACUAGAGGGUUUCGUACUAAAAGGGAAAGAGGAUUAUGUGUGUAAGCUGAAGAAAAGUCUUUAUGGCUUGAAGCAAGCACCGAGGCAGUGAUAUAAGAAGUUUGAGUUAGUUAUGGGGGAGCAAGGCUAUCGAAAAACUACUUCUGACCAUUGUGUAUUUGUGCAGAAAUUCUCUGAUGAUGAUUUUGUUAUAUUGUUGCUCUAUGUUGAUGAUAUCUUGAUUGUUAGCAGGAAUGUUUCAAGAAUUGAUAACUUGAAGAAGCAGUUAAGCAAAUCCUUUGCCAUGAAGGAUUUAGGGCCAGCAAAGAGAAUUCUUGGCAUUAAAAUUGAGCGGGAUAGAGCAUCCAAGAAGCUAUGUAUGUUACAAGAGCAAUAUAUUGAAAAGGUGCUUGCAAGGUUUAACAUGAGCAAAGCCAAAGUGGUUAGUUCUCCUCUAGCUAGUCACUUUAAGCUAAGCAGCAGACAUAGCCCUUCUAUAGAUAAGGAGAAGGAAGACAUGAGAAGAGUUCCGUAUGCCUCAACAGUAGGAAGUUUGAUGUAUGCCAUGGUAUGUACUAGACCAGACAUAGCUUAUGCAGUUGGUGUUGUUAGCCAUUUUUUAUCGAAUCCAGGAAGACAUCAUUAGGAAGUAGUCAAGUGGAUUAUGAGAUAUUUACGAGGCACUUCCAAGUUGAAACUCACUUUUAGAGGUGGGAAACCAAUACUUGUUGGAUACAUUGAUUCAGACAUGGCAGGGGAUGUGGAUAAUAGAAGGUCUACUUCAGACUAUUUGAUGACAUUCUCAGGAGGUGUUGUGUCUUGGCAAUCGAGACUAAAGAAAUGUGUUGCACUUUCUACAAUAGAGGCAAAGUACAUUGCAGCAGCAGAAGCAUGUAAAGAGUUGUUGUGGAUGAAGUGUUUCAUGCAAGAGCUCGGGUUUAAACAACAGCGCUAUGUGGUAUACUGUGAUAACCAAAGUGCUAUUCACCUCAGUAAGAAUUCUACCUAUCAGGCAAGAUCAAAACACAUUGAUGUGAGGUAUCAUUGGAUGAGAGAUGCUCUCAAUGACAACUUCUUUGAAAUUGAGAAGAUACAUACAGAUAACAAUGGCUCAGAUAUGUUGACAAAGACACUACCAAUGGAGAAGCUUGGAGUUUGUUGUUUCAUCGCUGGGAUGGUGAGUCCCUCCACAUAGUCGGAAAGGGGGAGAUUUGUUGGGUUGGGUUAUUUCCUUCUUGUGGAGGAAAGCCCAAAACCCAAACAUUUAAGGCUUCUUAGGCCUUAAUGUAUAAAAGGGAAGAAGAAACCGUUUUCUCUUCUUCUUCUUCAUCCUUGCAGCCCUAGGAGGAGAGUAAGAAGAAAAAGGAAGAGAAAGUUAGAGAGAAAAAGAAAAAGAGCCAUUGAAUUUUUGAAGUUAGAGAGAAGAAAAACGCUGAUUUCUUUUCUUCUCUUUACUGUCUAGAUUUCAUCAAACGGCCGAUCCCACUUCGUGUGUGGUCCGAUCGACCUGAAAUUUGAAGGAGAGAUUUUCAACUCAUUGAUCUCUAAUCUGAACGGUGGAGAUCGGAUUUGGAGUUCCGGAAGGUUGUUGUUUCAGUCCGUGAACAGUGCAUCUUUGUUGUUGAAUUUCUUCUCACCCGGGCAGUUCUGAUCUUCAGCUUUGAUCGAGAUUAAUCCGUGGUCUGAUCGAGAUGAUUUUUAGUUAGCACUUUCUUAACUCAUUGAUCUUCAUUUUGAACGGUGGAGAUUGGAUUUGGAGUUUGGAACAGUGGUGAUUUGUGUUCGGGAACAGUGACUCUGUUUUGGUGAGAUCUCUCCAUUGUUUUAUGCAAGUUGUUCUGUAUUUGCCAAGACUAAUUGUCUUGAGAUAUGGCUGAUGUAAAUCUCUAGUUUCAUCUAGAGAGAAUUGUGUAACCCAUUGAUUAUAUUAGUGGAGGGUUUAAGUGGCCUAAGGGUCCCGUGGUUUUUACUUCUCACAUUUGGGAAGGUUUUCCAUGCUAAAAAUUGUUGGUGUUCAUAUUUUUGUUGCAUUGGGUGAAUUGUUGUUACUCUAUUAAAUUGAUUCCUAUUAGGUUCUCACAAGAGGGGAUAAAAUCUGGUUGUGCAUUGUUUGCGUUUAUCCCAU
rnacentral:lncRNA from 1 species